UACGAAGGGGGCUAGCGUUGCUCGGAAUCACUGGGCGUAAAGCGCGCGUAGGCGGCCCGGUAAGUCCGUUGUGAAAGUCAAAGGCUCAACCUUUGAACGCCGAUGGAUACUGCCGGGCUAGAGUCCGGAAGAGGCGAGUGGAAUUCCUGGUGUAGCGGUGGAAUGCGCAGAUAUCAGGAGGAACACCAAUAGCGAAGGCAGCUCGCUGGGACGGUACUGACGCUGAGGCGCGAAAGCGUGGGGAGCGAACAGG
rnacentral:rRNA from 1 species